UACGAAGGGGGCUAGCGUUGUUCGGAAUUACUGGGCGUAAAGCGCACGUAGGCGGAUCGAUCAGUCAGGGGUGAAAUCCCAGGGCUCAACCCUGGAACUGCCUUUGAUACUGUCGAUCUGGAGUAUGGAAGAGGUGAGUGGAAUUCCGAGUGUAGAGGUGAAAUUCGUAGAUAUUGGGAAGAACACCGGUGGCGAAGGCGGCUCUCUGGACCGAUACUGACGCUGAGGCGCGAAAGUGUGGGGAGCGAACAGG
rnacentral:rRNA from 1 species